rnacentral:rRNA from 1 species
UACGUAGGGGGCAAGCGUUGUCCGGAAUCACUGGGCGUAAAGCGCGCGCAGGCGGCUGUCUACGUCCGGGGUGAAAGCCCAGAGCUCAACUCUGGGAUUGCCUUGGAUACGGGAUGGCUUGAGGAUCGGAGAGGCAAGGGGAAUUCCACGUGUAGCGGUGAAAUGCGUAGAGAUGUGGAGGAACACCUGUGGCGAAGGCGCCUUGCUGGCCGAUUUCUGACGCUGAGGCGCGAAAGGGUGGGGAGCAAACAGG